rnacentral:rRNA from 1 species
CAGCCGCCGCGGGAAUACAGAGGGUGCAAGCGUUAAUCGGAAUUACUGGGCGUAAAGCGCGCGUAGGUGGUUCGCCAAGUUGGAUGUGAAAUCCCCGGGCUCAACCUGGGAACUGCAUCCAAAACUGGCGAGCUAGAGUAUGGUAGAGGGUGGUGGAAUUUCCUGUGUAGCGGUGAAAUGCGUAGAUAUAGGAAGGAACAUCAGUGGCGAAGGCGACCACCUGGACUGAUACUGACACUGAGGUGCGAAAGCGUGGGGAGCAAACAGGAUUAGAUACCCCCGUAGUCCCUGUCUCUUAUAA